rnacentral:rRNA from 1 species
GAUCAUGGCCCAGGAUGAACGCCGGCGGCGUGCCUAAUACAUGCAAGUCGAGCGGGGCCCGCAAGGGUCCAGCGGCAAACGGGUGAGUAACACGUUGGUAACCUGCCCCUCGGAUCGCAAUACCGGGGGAGAAAUCUCCGCUAAUGCCGGAUAUGUGCGCCUGGCUCGGGCCGGGCGGACGAAAGGGGGCCGAAAGGCCUCGCCGGGGGAUGGGCCUGCGGCGCAUCAGCCAGUUGGCGGGACAAAGGCCCACCAAAGCG